CGGAGCGUGGCGCAGUCUGGUAGCGCACUUGCAUGGGGUGCAAGGGGUCGUGGGUUCAAAUCCCGCCGCUCCGACCA
rnacentral:tRNA from 1 species